AGUCGUAACAAGGUUUCCGUAGGUGAACCUGCGGAAGGAUCAUUAAAGAGUAAGGGUGCUCAGCGCCCGACCUCCAACCCUUUGUUGUUAAAACUACCUUGUUGCUUUGGCGGGACCGCUCGGUCUCGAGCCGCUGGGGAUUCGUCCCAGGCGAGCGCCCGCCAGAGUUAAACCAAACUCUUGUUAUUUAACCGGUCGUCUGAGUUAAAAUUUUGAAUAAAUCAAAACUUUCAACAACGGAUCUCUUGGUUCUCGCAUCGAUGAAGAACGCAGCGAAAUGCGAUAAGUAAUGUGAAUUGCAGAAUUCAGUGAAUCAUCGAAUCUUUGAACGCACAUUGCGCCCCUUGGUAUUCCGAGGGGCAUGCCUGUUCGAGCGUCAUUACACCACUCAAGCUAUGCUUGGUAUUGGGUGCCGUCCUUAGUUGGGCGCGCCUUAAAGACCUCGGCGAGGCCUCACCGGCUUUAGGCGUAGUAGAAUUUAUUCGAACGUCUGUCAAAGGAGAGGACUUCUGCCGACUGAAACCUUUAUUCUUCUAGGUUGACCUCGGAUCAGGUAGGGAUACCCGCUGAACUUAAGCAUAUCAAUAAAGUCG
rnacentral:rRNA from 1 species